rnacentral:rRNA from 1 species
UACGUAGGGGGCUAGCGUUGUCCGGAAUCAUUGGGCGUAAAGCGCGUGUAGGCGGUCCGGUAAGUCCGCUGUGAAAGUCGAGGGCUCAACCCUCGAAUGCCGGUGGAUACUGUCGGGCUUGAGUACGGGAGAGGCGAGUGGAAUUCCUGGUGUAGCGGUGAAAUGCGCAGAUAUCAGGAGGAACACCGAUUGCGAAGGCAGCUCGCUGGAACGUUGACUGACGCUGAGACGCGAAAGCGUGGGAGCAAACAGG